rnacentral:rRNA from 1 species
UACGACUACAUAUCAGGCAUAUCAAUAAGCGGAGGAAAAGAAACUAACAUAGGAUUCCCUCAGUAACGGCGAGUGAAGCGGGAAGAGCUCAAAUUUGAAAUCUUCAAGGUUUUACCUUGACGAAUUGUAGUUUAAAGAAGUGUUUUCUGUUGAAGUUUUGGUAAAAGUUCUUUGGAAUAGGACAUCAUAGAGGGUGAGGAAUCCCGUAUUUGACCAUUAUUUUCAGCUGUGUGAUACACUUUCAAAGAGUCGGAUUGUUUGGGAAUGCAGUCCAAAAUGGGUGGUAAAUUUCAUCUAAAGCUAAAUAUUGGCGAGAGACCGAUAGCGAACAAGUACCGUGAGGGAAAGAUGAAAAGAACUUUGAAAAGAGAGUUAAACAGUACGUGAAAUUGUCAAAAGGGAAGCGUUUGACACCAGUGUUGUUUUCUCGAAAAUCAAUUAAAAAGAGUUGGAUUUUGUGUUGUAUUGACCUUAACAGCUUGCUUCACUCUUUUCCAGCUUCUUUUAAUGCACCUAUUCGUUUAACAAGUCAACAUCAGUUUCUUUUGUUGUAAAAGGGUCAUUGGAAGGUGGCUUUCUCUUCGGAGAAAGUGUUUAUAGCCUUUGAUCUCUGCAAUCGGAGAGACUGAGGUCUGCAGCGUAGAUCCUUCGGGGUUAGAUACAUUUGUGCUAAGCUACAGCUUUUCAUAGACAACUUGUUGACUAUGUUUAGUCUUGUGACUUACCCGCUUAUGCUAUUUUACCUACGCUUAGGAUGUUGAGCGCAUGUCUCUCUCU